GAUGAACGCUGGCGGCGUGCCUAGUACAUGCCAGUCGAGCGAACAGACGAGGAGCUUGCUCCUCUGACGUUAGCGGCGGACGGGUGAGUAACACGUGGAUAACCUACCUAUAAGACUGGGAUAACUUCGGGAAACCGGAGCUAAUACCGGAUAAUAUAUUGAACCGCAUGGUUCAAUAGUGAAAGACGGUUUUGCUGUCACUUAUAGAUGGAUCCGCGCCGCAUUAGCUAGUUGGUAAGGUAACGGCUUACCAAGGCAACGAUGCGUAGCCGACCUGAGAGGGUGAUCGGCCACACUGGAACUGAGACACGGUCCAGACUCCUACGGGAGGCAGCAGUAGGGAAUCUUCCGCAAUGGGCGAAAGCCUGACGGAGCAACGCCGCGUGAGUGAUGAAGGCCUUCGGAUCGUAAAACUCUGUUAUUAGGGAAGAACAAAUGUGUAAGUAACUAUGCACGUCUUGACGGUACCUAAUCAGAAAGCCACGGCUAACUACGUG
rnacentral:rRNA from 1 species